UCAGUUGUGAAAGUUUGCGGCUCAACCGUAAAAUUGCAGUUGAUACUGGGUGUCUUGAGUACAGUAGAGGCAGGCGGAAUUCGUGGUGUAGCGGUGAAAUGCUUAGAUAUCACGAAGAACUCCGAUUGCGAAGGCAGCCUGCUGGACUGUAACUGACGCUGAUGCUCGAAAGUGUGGGUAUCAAACAGGAUUAGAUACCCUGGUAGUCCACACAGUAAACGAUGAAUACUCGCUGUUUGCGAUAUACAGUAAGCGGCCAGGCGAAAGCGUUAAGUAUUCCACCUGGGGAGUACGCCGGCAACGGUGAAACUCAAAGGAAUUGACGGGGGCCCGCACAAGCGGAGGAACAUGUGGUUUAAUUCGAUGAUACGCGAGGAACCUUACCCGGGCUUGAAUUGCAACUGAAUGAUGUGGAGACAUGUCAGCCGCAAGGCAGCUGUGAAGGUGCUGCAUGGUUGUCGUCAGCUCGUGCCGUGAGGUGUCGGCUUAAG
rnacentral:rRNA from 1 species